CAAGGAACACGAAAGAGCCUAGAGAUCACGGUAGAAAGCCCAUCGUUGGGACGCUAAGCGUGAACCCCAGAGCGAGCUCUGGUCUGGAGUGCUGGCAUGUCAAGGGACGGUUACGACCCUAACAAAGUGGACCAGCUGACCUUGCCUUGCCAACGUGGAUUAUAGCUCAGGAAAAGGGAGAGACAACCCAAACAAGGAGGUCCAUUUUAUAGCGGAAAAACAGCCGUGGGGCUGCAGAGUGGAGGUUCCUAACGUCGCUCGGAGCCAGCUGAGGACAACCAUGGAGCUGUGAGGACAAUCACCAUUGAUUUAUUUUAUUUUCUGCAUGUGAUUAUUUUACCUGCAUAUAUGGAUGUGUACCACAUGGCUGCCUAUUGCUUGAAGAGGACAGAAGAGUGCGUUUGAUGCUCUGGAACUGGUUACAGACUGUUGAAAGUUACCACGUGGGUGCUGGGAAUCCCAGUCCUCUGCAAGAGCAGCCAGUGAAGCCAUCAAGCCAUCCCAAGAGUUUGUUCUUCAUGGACACCAAAGUAGGCACUCUAUUGGAACUCGAGGAGUGGACGGCAUCCUGAAAACCUGGACUCGUGCUGAGUGGUUCAAGUCAACAUACCUUUGUGUUGUCUCCUCUGGGAGAGAUGAGCUCUUGUGUUGUCCUCAUGAAAGCUGGGACCUUUCAAAGCAGCAUGCCCGGGCAGAAGGCUAGGGCUGGGCAUUUGCAGUGGAACAAAGUGGGGUGGGUUACUCUUCGAAGUUUUCCCAUUUUCCCAACAAACAUUCCCACCACAAUCACCCCUCCUGGGGGAACAUAGCCCAUCCUGUUUCCUCUGCCCGCAACCGCAGGGGAUAGCCAUUGGAUUCAAGCUGGCUGACCAUGGUGUCCUACUCACCUAACUGCAUGACUAACAUGUGACCCAAUGAGGCCACAGUCUUAAGUUUUUUUUCUCUGUAUAGCUGUAUCACAAUGUGAAAAACUAUUCGAUUCGAAAUUGAAGUUUUUUUCUGGCAACAACCCCUAUCUUCCUGAAGUGUGACUAAAACCAGGUUGGAAUAAUGAAAAUGGCAGGUUCUACUUGACCCUGAGACCUGGAUCUGCUUUCCAAGGAUUCGGUUCCCACAGCAAUUUUGUGAGUUCUGUUGAAUCUAUUGAAUCCAGUUGGAAUAGGUUCCCUUUCCAAGUUUUAAACUUUAUCCUGGCAAGUCAAAUUGAACUCAGUGUAGUCGCGAUGCUGAACAGAGUCCACAAGAUGGCGCCAAAAGCAUUCUUUCCAUAGCUUCCCAACCAGAUGUUCACCCUGAUAAGCCACA